rnacentral:rRNA from 1 species
UGGGGGAAUAUUGGACAAUGGGCGCAAGCCUGAUCCAGCAAUGCCGCGUGUGGGAAGAAGGCCUUCGGGUUGUAAAGCACUUUUAUCAGGAGCGAAACGCUGUCGGCUAAUACCCGGCGGAACUGACGGUACCUGAGGAAUAAGCACCGGCUAACUUCGUGCCAGCAGCCGCGGUAAUACGAAGGGUGCAAGCGUUAAUCGGAAUUACUGGGCGUAAAGCGUGCGUAGGCGGUUUCUUAAGUCUGCUGUGAAAUCCCCGGGCUCAACCUGGGAAUGGCAGUGGAUACUGGGAGGCUAGAGUGUGUCAGAGGGUGGUGGAAUUCCCGGUGUAGCGGUGAAAUGCGUAGAGAUCGGGAGGAACAUCAGUGGCGAAGGCGGCCACCUGGGACAACACUGACGCUGAGGCACGAAAGCGUGGGGAGCAAACAGGAUUAGAUACCCUGGUAGUCCACGCCCUAAAACGAUGCGAACUGGAUGUUGGUCUCAACUCGGAGAUCAGUGUCGAAGCUAACGCGUUAAGUUCGCCGCCUGGGGAGUACGGUCGCAAGACUGAAACUCAAAUGAAUUGAC